rnacentral:rRNA from 1 species
UCUACGGGACGCAGCAGUGAGGAAUAUUGGUCAAUGGGCGGAAGCCUGAACCAGCCAUGCCGCGUGCGGGAAGAAGGCGCUACGCGUCGUAAACCGCUUUUGUCCGGGGGUAACCGCGGGGACGUGUCCCCGCCUGCAAGUACCGGACGAAUAAGGGUCGGCUAACUCCGUGCCAGCAGCCGCGGUAAUACGGAGGACCCGAGCGUUAUCCGGAUUCAUUGGGUUUAAAGGGUGCGCAGGCGGCCCGGUCAGUCAGCGGUGAAAUGCCCGCGCUUCACGCGGGAGCUGCCGUUGAUACUGACGGGCUAGAAUCUCAGCGAGGCGGGCGGAAUGCGCGGUGUAGCGGUGAAAUGCAUAGAUAUCGCGCAGAACGCCGAUUGGGGAGCCAGCUCGCCAGCUGGGUAUUGACGCUGAGGCACGAAAGCGUGGGGAUCGAACAGGAUUAGAUACCCUGGUAGUCCACGCCGUAAACGAUGAUGGCUCGCUCUUGGCUGGAAACGGUCAGGGGCUUAGCGAAAGCGUUAAGCCAUCCACCUGGGGAGUACGCCGGCAACGGUGAAACUCAAAGGAAUUGACGGA